rnacentral:rRNA from 1 species
AGAGUUUGAUCAUGGCUCAGAUUGAACGCUGGCGGCAUGCCUUACACAUGCAAGUCGAGCGGCAGCGCGGGGGCAACCCUGGCGGCGAGCGGCGAACGGGUGAGUAAUGCAUCGGAACGUGUCCUCUUGUGGGGGAUAACCAGUCGAAAGACUGGCUAAUACCGCAUGAGAUCGAGAGAUGAAAGCAGGGGACCGCAAGGCCUUGCGCGAGAGGAGCGGCCGAUGCCGGAUUAGCUAGUUGGUGGGGUAAAAGCCUACCAAGGCGACGAUCCGUAGCUGGUCUGAGAGGACGACCAGCCACACUGGGACUGAGACACGGCCCAGACUCCUACGGGAGGCAGCAGUGGGGAAUUUUGGACAAUGGGGGCAACCCUGAUCCAGCCAUGCCGCGUGUGUGAAGAAGGCCUUCGGGUUGUAAAGCACUUUCGGCCGGAACGAAAUCGCGCGAUCUAAUAAGUCGCGUGGAUGACGGUACCGAAGAAGAGC